UUAUCCGGAAUUAUUGGGCGUAAAGCGCGCGUAGGCGGUUUUUUAAGUCUGAUGUGAAAGCCCACGGCCCAACCGUGGGGGGUCAUUGGAAACUGGAAAACUUGAGUGCAGAAGAGGAAAGGGGAAUUCCAUGGGUAGCGGGGAAAUGCGCAGAGGUAUGGAGGAACACCAGGGGCGAAGGCGACUUUCUGGUCUGUAACUGACGCUGAUGUGCGAAAGCGAUGGGGUCAAACAGGAUUAGAUUCCCUGGUAGUCCACGCCGUAAACGAUGAGUGCUAAGUGUUAGGGGGUUUCCGCCCC
rnacentral:rRNA from 1 species